AAACAUAACCUUUAGCUAAACCAAUAUUAAAGGCAACGCCUGCCCAGUGAACAAUUAAACGGCCGCGGUACCCUAACCGUGCAAAGGUAGCAUAAUCAUUUGUCUACUAAUUAUAGACCUGUAUGAAAGGCAAAAUGAGGGUCUAACUGUCUCUUUUGAUUAAUCCAUUAAACUGAUCUCCCAGUAAAAAAGCUGGGAUAACCACAUAAGACCAGAAGACCCUGUGAAGCUUAAACUAAACUAUUAAACCCUAUAAUAAAUACUUUCGGUUGGGGCGACCUUGGAAAAAAAAAGAACUUCCAAACACAUCUACUUACUAGACACCCACAGGCCAACAAGCCAACUAACGACCCAGCACAGCUGAUAAUUGAACCAAGUUACUCCAGGGAUAACAGCGCAAUCUUCUUCAAGAGCCCAUAUCAAAAGGAAGGUUUACGACCUCGAUGUUGGAUCAGGACAUCCUAGUGGUGCAGCCGCUAUUAAGGGUUCGUUUGUUCAACAAUUAACAGUCCUACGUGAUC
rnacentral:rRNA from 1 species